GGCUCAGGACGAACGCUGGCGGCGUGCUUAACACAUGCAAGUCGAACGAUGAAGCCGCUUCGGUGGUGGAUUAGUGGCGAACGGGUGAGUAACACGUGGGCAAUCUGCCCUGCACUCUGGGACAAGCCCUGGAAACGGGGUCUAAUACCGGAUAUGACACGGGAUCGCAUGGUCUCCGUGUGGAAAGCUCCGGCGGUGCAGGAUGAGCCCGCGGCCUAUCAGCUUGUUGGUGGGGUGAUGGCCUACCAAGGCGACGACGGGUAGCCGGCCUGAGAGGGCGACCGGCCACACUGGGACUGAGACACGGCCCAGACUCCUACGGGAGGCAGCAGUGGGGAAUAUUGCACAAUGGGCGCAAGCCUGAUGCAGCGACGCCGCGUGAGGGAUGACGGCCUUCGGGUUGUAAACCUCUUUCAGCAGGGAAGAAGCGCAAGUGACGGUACCUGCAGAAGAAGCACCGGCUAACUACGUGCCAGCAGCCGCGGUAAUACGUAGGGUGCGAGCGUUGUCCGGAAUUAUUGGGCGUAAAGAGCUCGUAGGCGGCUUGUCGCGUCGGAUGUGAAAGCCCGGGGCUUAACCCCGGGUCUGCAUUCGAUACGGGCAGGCUAGAGUUCGGCAGGGGAGAUUGGAAUUCCUGGUGUAGCGGUGAAAUGCGCAGAUAUCAGGAGGAACACCGGUGGCGAAGGCGGAUCUCUGGGCCGAUACUGACGCUGAGGAGCGAAAGCGUGGGGAGCGAACAGGAUUAGAUACCCUGGUAGUCCACGCCGUAAACGUUGGGCACUAGGUGUGGGCGGCAUUCCACGUCGUCCGUGCCGCAGCUAACGCAUUAAGUGCCC
rnacentral:rRNA from 1 species